GCACUACAACGGGUGGAGCUUGCGGUUUAAUUGGAUUCAACGCCGGAAAUCUUACCGGGGCCGACAGCGAUAUGAAGGCCAGGCUAAGGACCUUGCCUGAUUAGCUGAGAGGUGGUGCAUGGCCGUCGUCAGUUCGUACUGCGAAGCAUCCUGUUAAGUCAGGCAACGAGCGAGACCCACGCCCACAGUUGCCAGCGUACUCUCCGGAGUGACGGGUACACUGUGGGGACCGCCGCUGCUAAAGCGGAGGAAGGAAUGGGCAACGGUAGGUCAGUAUGCCCCGAAUGUCCCGGGCUACACGCGAGCUACAAUGGCUGGUACAAUGGGUAUCUACCCCGAAAGGGGAUGGAAAUCUCCUAAAGCCAGUCUUAGUUCGGAUCGAGGGCUGCAACUCGCCCUCGUGAAGCUGGAAUCCGUAGUAAUCGCAUAUCAACAGUAUGCGGUGAAUACGUCCCUGCUCCUUGCACACACCGCCCGUCAAACCACCCGAGUAGGGUCUGAAUGAAGGCGUAUCUCUUGAUACGUUUGAAUUCGGGCUUUGCAAGGGGGGUU
rnacentral:rRNA from 1 species